GCCAGGGUGGUGGUGUGGUUUAGAUGCUGGAGUAGGACUCCAGAGGACCAGGGUUCAAAUCAUGGACCUUGGGCA